rnacentral:misc_RNA from 1 species
GCAUAGGUUCAGUCUUGAUCUGGCCAUCCUUAUCAUCUCCAACCUGAGGCUUGGAAUCUGCAACCAUGAACUCCCACCCAUCAUCUUCAUCAUCCCCAUCACCAUCAUCAACGACUUCUCUACUUUCACCAACCAGACCNNGCCCGGAUUCAUAGAAUUUGUACUUGAAUUGACACUAUUAAAAUUAGAGUUCCACCCAUUAAAUUCCAAGUUCAAUUCAUUCCAAUUUGAACUGGAUCCAUUAAGAUUAGGUACUGGCCCGUUGUUACUCUUGAAAUGGUUCGUCUUAGAAAUCUCAUCACCCACCGGAGUUUUGGGUUCUGCAUCCUUGAAUUCCCACCCAUCAUCAUCAUCACCAUUAUCAAAUUCCCCAUUGUCAGCAACCAAAAGGGAAUUACCUCCGUUUGAGCCCCAUUUUACCUCUUUUGAAACCGAAUUCGUCCCAUCUUUGUUUGAAUUCAUUACGUUUGUAUUCAAAUUCAAUGGAUCCCAAUCCAAAUUUGACCAAUGUGAAUUCAAUUUUAUCUCAUCUUUACCAUUUGCGUUCAAGUC